AUAUAGUUUUUCACGGCUCUGGGUGCAUGCCCUUUUAAGCCAGUCUUUGAAGUCCGUUGAACUUUUGUUUGAAUUUGACACAUGACAACUGUGUUUGACACUUCACUUCACUGAUUCACUGUGAUUCACUGAUAUUUUCUUAGUUCUUACUCUUCUCAAUUUCUCAAAUAGUUCCCAGAGUUGAAACCACGAAAGUAUAUAAGGGUUUGAAAAGUUUCGGAUCCUUGAGGAGUUCGUCCAACGACUGUGGUACACGUUCACAAAUAGAUUGAAGGUCAUCGAUCAUGACCAGUCUCUGGAUUCCAAAACUUCUACAUUUCAGGAUUAUGUGUUCCAUAUCGGCAAGCUCUUCAUUGCAAUAUGUACAUUCAGCGCUCGGAAUCAAGUUAAGCCUCUUCAGGUCUUGACUGAUUGCGGCUUGAUAGUCAGUGUGAGGUAUCUUCAACAACGUAGAAUGGUCAACAUCAAAGCCAUUCCUUGCAGCCAGAUCAACAAUUUCAUUCCCCCUGAUGCCACGGUGCGAUGGUACCCAAAGGAAGAGCAGUGUCUUACCAACUACCCCGGGUACUCCAAUAUCACAUAAGAUGGCUAUUAAAAUUGAGGGGACCACGUUAUCGAACGCGCCCUGUACAUCAAGGAAGACACAAGCUGUAGCAGAGUGACUGUCAAGAGAAUUCCUAAGGUCUGAGACCAAUGCUGUAAAACUUUCUGCUGCACUUCGGCCUUUCCUAAAUCCGAAUUGUUCAUUUGGAGGAGAUACAGGGGAAUAUUUCUCAAAAAAAGAGGGAAUCCAUUCAUCAUUCUUCGGCAGUUUAGGAAUUGAAACACGCUUAAACCUCUUCAUAUAGUUCCAUACUGUACUAACAGGAGUAUAUCGAUUAAAAGAUUCACAUAAAGAUUU